AUUGAACGCUGGCGGCAUGCCUUACACAUGCAAGUCGAACGGUAACAGGUCUUCGGAUGCCGACGAGUGGCGAACGGGUGAGUAAUACAUCGGAACGUGCCUAGUAGUGGGGGAUAACUACUCGAAAGAGUGGCUAAUACCGCAUGAGAUCUACGGAUGAAAGCAGGGGAUCGCAAGACCUUGCGCUACUAGAGCGGCCGAUGGCAGAUUAGGUAGUUGGUGGGAUAAAAGCUUACCAAGCCGACGAUCUGUAGCUGGUCUGAGAGGACGAUCAGCCGCACUGGGACGAAGACACGGCCCAGACUCCUACGGGAGGCAGCAGUGGGGAAUUUUGGACAAUGGGCGAAAGCCUGAUCCAGCAAUGCCGCGUGCAGGAUGAAGGCCUUCGGGUUGUAAACUGCUUUUGUACGGAACGAAAAGCCCCGGGUUAAUACCCUGGGGUCAUGACGGUACCGUAAGAAUAAGCACCGGCUAACUACGUGCCAGCCGCCGCCGUAA
rnacentral:rRNA from 1 species